GACGGAGGAUGCAAGUGUUAUCCGGAAUCACUGGGCGUAAAGCGUCUGUAGGUGGUUCAAUAAGUCAACUGUUAAAUCUUGAGGCUCAACUUCAAAAUCGCAGUCGAAAACUAUUGGACUCGAGUAUAGUAGGGGUAAAGGGAAUUUCCAGUGGAGCGGUGAAAUGCGUAGAGAUUGGAAAGAACACCAAUGGCGAAAGCACUUUACUGGGCUAUUACUGACACUGAGAGACGAAAGCUAGGGUAGCAAAUGGG
rnacentral:rRNA from 1 species